rnacentral:rRNA from 1 species
UACGUAGGGUCCGAGCGUUGUCCGGAGUUACUGGGCGUAAAGCGCGCGCAGGCGGCUCAUUUUGUCAGGCGUGAAAGCCCCGGGCUUAACCUGGGAACUGCAUUUGUGACUGCAUGGCUGGAGUGCGGCAGAGGGGAUGGAAUUCCGCGUGUAGCAGUGAAAUGCGUAGAUAUGCGGAGGAACACCGAUGGCGAAGGCAAUCCCCUGGGCCUGCACUGACGCUCAUGCACGAAAGCGUGGGGAGCAAACAGG